rnacentral:rRNA from 1 species
UAAGGGAUAUUGGUCAAUGGGGGAAACCCUGAACCAGCAACGCCGCGUGAGGGAAGACGGUUUUCGGAUUGUAAACCUCUGGUCCUCUGUGAAGAUGAUGACGGUAGCAGAGGAGGAAGCUCCGGCUAACUACGUGCC